ACUUGCUGUACGUGUGGCACGAGGUGACCGGCCUGCUGGCAGACUACCAUCCUGAACACCCUGUGCCAGCAGGCCAGACUUGCUGUACGUGUGGCACGAGGUGACCGGCCUGCUGGCAGGCUACCUAUCCGUGAGCCAUCCUGAACACCCUGUGCCAGCAGGCCAGUUGCUGUGCGUUUGGCACGAGGUGACGGGCCUGCAUGUGGGCCACCUGUCGGUACUGAUUUUCCUACUGCAAUCGGGGGUGCUAUCCGACCAGCGGCUUCGUGAAGGCCUCGCCUACCCGUAUGCGGUCCUCAACACGUGAUUCCAGCAGGCCAGUUGCUGUGCGUGUGGCAGGAGGAGGUGACAGGCCUACAGGUGGGCCACCUGUCGGUACUGAUUUUCCUGCUGCCAUCCGGGGUGCUAACCACCGG
rnacentral:lncRNA from 1 species